rnacentral:tRNA from 1 species
AGCUUUAUAGUCAAUAUAUGAUUUUAGACUGCAAUUCUAAAGUAGAAAUUUAAUUUCUAAAGCUU